rnacentral:tRNA from 1 species
GAGGAUAUAGCUCAGUGGUAGAGCAUGUGCUUAGCAUACAUAAGGGCCUGGAUUCAAUCCCCAGUACCUCCA